UACGAAUGGUGCUAGCGUUGUUCGGAAUUACUGGGCGUAAAGGGCGCGUAGGCGGCUUGGCAAGUUGGGUGUGAAAGCCCAGGGCUCAACCCUGGAAUUGCACUCAAGACUGCCUUGCUUGAAUUCGGUAGAGGUUGGUGGAAUUCCCAGUGUAGAGGUGAAAUUCGUAGAGAUUGGGAAGAACACCCGUGGCGAAGGCGGCCAACUGGACCGACAUUGACGCUGAGGCGCGAAAGCCAGGGGAGCAAACGGG
rnacentral:rRNA from 1 species